rnacentral:rRNA from 1 species
UAAUAUAUCGGAACGUACCCUGGAGUGGGGGAUAACGUAGCGAAAGUUACGCUAAUACCGCAUACGAUCUAAGGAUGAAAGUGGGGGAUCGCAAGACCUCAUGCUCCUGGAGCGGCCGAUAUCUGAUUAGCUAGUUGGUAGGGUAAAAGCCUACCAAGGCAUCGAUCAGUAGCUGGUCUGAGAGGACGACCAGCCACACUGGAACUGAGACACGGUCCAGACUCCUACGGGAGGCAGCAGUGGGGAAUUUUGGACAAUGGGCGCAAGCCUGAUCCAGCAAUGCCGCGUGAGUGAAGAAGGCCUUCGGGUUGUAAAGCUCUUUUGUCAGGGAAGAAACGACAUCCUCUAAUACAGGGUGUUAAUGACGGUACCUGAAGAAUAAGCACCGGCUAACUACGUGCCAGCAGCCGCGGUAAUACGUAGGGUGCAAGCGUUAAUCGGAAUUACUGGGCGUAAAGCGUGCGCAGGCGGUUUUGUAAGACUGACGUGAAAUCCCCGGGCUCAACCUGGGAAUG